GGGAGUUUAGCUCAGCUGGGAGAGCAUCUGCCUUACAAGCAGAGGGUCAGCGGUCCGAUCCCGUUAACUCCCA
rnacentral:tRNA from 1 species